ACUCUAAACCAAGUGCAUAAGUUUAGUAUAUUUCAAGAGAGUAAGUAAGAUCCAAAAAUGUUGAUAACAAAAGAUUCCUAGAACAUUCAUCUAUAACAAUUCAAAAUUCUAUCUCAAGUUGAUAUUUUUCAUCUAUUUCUUGAUCUUCUCCACCUACAAAAUAGGAUAAAUAAUGUUAUCAAUAGUUAGACAACAGAAGAAGAAACUUACAAAUUUAAUAGAACCAAAAUUAUGGAGGGAUCACGAGGGUGGCGCAUGAUAUCAAGGCCAACAACAGGCAGACGAACCCAAAUCUUACCUUCUGGAAAAAGAAAAUCAACUGUGCAUAAAGAUUCAAACUCUUUGGCUUUAAAGGUAAUGCCUUUUAGUUUAACCUCAAAUUUAUUAGUUCUCAAAUAUAUAUUACCAGCCAUAGGUUUGUUUGUUGAAUGAGAUGAUCCUAAUAUUGUUAGUUUAGUAUAAAUAGAUGGAGAAAAGAUUAGCAAAAUGAUGAGUGUCCCAUAACAGAUGCUAGAGAAAUGAACAACUCCCCAAUGAAAAUAAGAUUUGACGCAAUAUUGCAGGGAAACAAGACAAAAUACUAGCAAGAUGCACAUGAAAAUGUCAUCAAAAUGAUAUUCAAAACUACAGAAGAAUACCAGGGAUAAAAGGAAGGAAGAUUAGUGGAUUAACAUUAAAAUUAGAUGGUUCUGCAAAAAAUUAUGACACUUGUUGGGCAAGCCUUUUGUUUGUUAGCUAUGGAUACUUUAUAUCCGCUGACUCCUAGACUUCACCAAGAAAGUGAUUGAAUCUACAGCUGAAGCAUUUUGCAUCUAUCCAGAACUUGACCAUUUUGCAUCUUCUCUAAAUGCGUCACUACUGUUUUCCAUGUGCAUUAUUUUACUUGUUUUUCUUAAUUCGUUUGGCCCUAGAUGAAGAUAGUUAAAUUUUACUUCGUAGUUUGGUUCUCCUAAAGCUAAAUAUGACAAUAAUAGUAAUGUUUCUUCUUGUCACGACCUCAGUUCACCUUCCAUGAAUAUGUCGUGAUGGCACAUAAUUCCUACAACUAGGUAAGCCUAACAACGCGAAAAUUAAUAUAACUUGCAAAAAUAUUUAAUUAAAUUAAGCAAAACUAGGAGAAAAACGGUAUAUAAGUGCCACUUGGCAUAUAUAACUCAAAAAUAAAUACGGAAGUCUACAAUUAAAUCCUAAAAACCCAGAAACUCACGGAAACCACAAGCUAAAAGAAAUACUGUAAAUGCUCUAAUCUUCAGAAUGUCUACAUCAAAAGUAUGAUAGGAUAUAAACACUACAGAUAGAAUAAGGAAGGAAACUCUUUGGUCUACGGAUGCUGCAGAUAUACCUCAAGUCUCCACUAGAUCUCUCUGUCUCGAUGAUAGUGCGCCAGAGAUGAAGUACCUGGAUUUGCACAUGAAAAACAUGCACAUGAGAGGCAUGAGUACACCACAGCGGUACUCAGUAAGUGCCAAGCCUAACCCCGGUUGGGUAGUAACGAGGAAGGUCAGGGCCCGCCUGAGAUAAACAUAGUAUAUGAUAAGAUAAGGAAAACAAUAUAGAUAAGGUCUACAACGAGAAUCUGAACAGGAUAAAUAAGGGAAACAACUAUAGGAAGCAGAAACAAAGCAAUAUAAGGAACACUACUCAUAAUAGGAAAUAAUAUCCGGAGAUAUCUUGGUAUCCUCACCACAUACACUAAUGAUCUCUUAGUAUCCCGAGGAUGUCUUGGUAUCCUCAUCAUAUUAACUAGGGAUCUCUUGGUAUCCCGAGAAUCUCUUGGUAUCCUCAUCAUAUUCCUAGGGAUCUCUUGGUAUCUCGAUGAUCUCUUGGUAUCCUCAUCAUAUUCACUAGGGAUCUCUUGGUAUCCUGAGGAUCUCUUGGUAUCCCAUAACUUACAAUUUCAUGUGCCAGAGAUCUCUUGGUAUCCCGCACCAUUAGUCCAAAAUAUAUCAAGUGCAGGGGAUUCUCCUGGGAGGCCAACCCGUAGUCCCAAUUUAAAAAACACAAUAGCAACCCAAACAUUAGAAUAGAUAGUAGACUCAAGACAAGAAAUAGAAAAUCCUAACCAGCAUACUACACGGAGCACAAAUAAGACAAUUUAAGAACUUAGGCAAGUAAGUCAAAUUAACAUGCUUCUCUAAACUAGCAUAGAAUAAACUUGCAAUUGAAACUAAACAGAUAAGCAAGAAAACUCAAUUUAAAUACUUCGAGUAAAAACGAAUUUCCACCAAUUUUCUCAAGUAUGCGCUCGUCACCUCACGUACGAGGCAUUUAAGUACCAAAAAUCAUGUCCUAAGGGGAAGAAGUCCCCCACACAAGCCUAGACAAGCCACUUAACAUGAACCAGCUCAAUAUCAACUAGAAACCACGCCUUUAUCAUGAGUAUCUGACUCCAAAUGGCCCAAUUCUAUUCAUUUCAAUUACAUCUCGUAAAUAACAUCUCAAGCAACUAAUUCCACUAUUUAAAUUCAAAGACAAGACAUAAAUUAGGUAAAAUGACAAAAACACCUCUCAGGCGAAUGUGGUCAAAACCCGAAGUUCAAACUUAAAUAUAGUUACCCAUUCCCCCACGAAUCCAAUUAUGUGAUUAGUUUUGAAAUCACACCUCGGAUUCAGGUCCAACCCCUAAUUUUAGCAAAGUCUUAGGUUCUACCCAAUAUACCCAAAUUUCCCCAUUAAAAUCUUCGAUUUGAUGUUGAAAUUAUGUUAAAGAUGUUAAGGAGUGAAGAAAAUGAGUUAGAAAUAACUUACCAAUCAUUUUGAAGAAGAAUAAUUGCUUAGAAAAUAGCCACUUAGGGUUUUUUUUUUUAAAGUGAGAAAUAACUGAAAAUUCCGUGUAUUUAUACUCUCUGACGCCCCAGUGCAAACCACACAAACAGGACCGCGGUCGCGCUUGAAAACUGGGAAAUUUGCUACCCUCUGAAACCCCCCAGUGCAGACCGUGCAAAAAAAGGAUCGUGGCCGCGUUGGUGGAACUGAAGACUGUUGGUUCUCUAAAGCUUGCCGCGUGGACUGCACGAGGAUGACUGCGGUCGUGCAGCACACACUGCGGACUGUGUUAUGGCAAACACAGCCAUGCAACGCACACCGCAGACCGCGCUAAGGCGACCGUGGGCACGCUGGAGACUGCAUUUUUCCUUACAUGCAAUAUCUGGUGUUUUAAAGUCUAAGACCUCCUGGAACCUACUCGAAACUCACAUAAGCUCUCGGGGCUCCAAACCAAACAUACGCACAACCUUGAGUACACCCUACGAACUCAUCCGCGUGAUCAAAUCGCCAAAUAAUAUCAUAUAUAUCAAAUCAAGCCUCAAAGCUCAUGAUUUCUUCUCAAAUAUUUCAUACGACAUAACAUUCCCAUUCUGGGUGCGAAACACGUCAACCGACGUCCGUUCUCAUCCAAACUUUACAAAAAAUGCUUAAAUUAUAUAUAAGACUUGUACCGAGUACCGAAACCAAAAUACGGGCCCAAUACCCUAGUACUAAUCAAAUUUUGUUUCCAUUUCCCUUCAUUAUUUUCCAGAAAAUAAUUUCACAUAAAAAUUUAUUUCUCAGACUUGGGACGUCGGAAUUCGAUUCCGACUAUACGCUCAAGUCUUAUAUUUUUCCACGGACCCUCCGUGACCAUCGAAUCACAGGUCUGGGUCUGUUUACCAAAACGUUGAUCGAAGUCAAAUUUAUUCAAUUAGUAUCAAAAUUUAGCAGUUUUCUUACAGAAUUUGUAUAUAAGUUUUGUGGUUACGUGUUGGAACCGCGCACAUAAACCGAGACAACCCGAGAGGAAGUUUUAAGGCCUCGAAAGUAAAGAACAAAAAAUAAAUAAGUGAUAACCCCAUUGGGUUGUCACACUUCUUUUUCAUUUGUAGGUUGACUUGGUGGGCAAUUGACCAAGUUUUAAAAUAAAUGGAUAGUCUCUAUUGAACCUAGCAUUACUAAAUAUCGUAAGGAUGACUUUAACCUUACUAGAGUAGGAUAAAUAUACCAUCAUGAAGUGUUUGGCAUGCAGGAAAAUUAUUUUUCCUUAAAAAUGCUUCACUUAGAGAAAUUAAUUUUUGAUGAUUUUCUAGUGUUUGGUAGAGCAUAAAGUAAGUUAUAUGUGAUAAUUGUAUAAUUUGGAGGAUAUGGUUUCCUGAUACUAUUUUGGUGAUAUCUUUUGAAUAUUAAAUACUCAAAACAAUGUCCAUAUAUUGGUUGAAGCAAGUGGCAGGAGUAAUAUUUCAGAUAGUUGUGAAGGAAAAUGACAAGUGACAGAUAUCAUUUUAGUUUCCAUAAUCUAAGUUAACGAAAUGCUGGAAUGGGAAAACAUAUACAAUAUUUUCUAUAGUUAACUUGAGCUAUUUAUGCUGUCUAUGUUUUUAAAUCUUAAUUCAUCUAUUUUCCAAAUUAAUCUAUUAUGUUAUCUAUUUUCUUGAUCGAUCCAACUUGAAACUAAUACAUUAAGCUUCCUGAGCUAUUGAGCUAUCUAUCUACUAAAUCAGUUUAUUGUAUUUUUACUUACAGAUGGAGAAACUGUAAGUUGUUUUCCUCUAUUCACAACCUUGUGUUGAUGGAGGAUUGUUGCAUCCAGCUUCCUAUCCAAUAAGAGAAUAUCAAUCCUGUCUUUAAGGAGAACCUUAAAUGAUUCAUAUUAGUGUGAAAAUUGCAUAUUUAUCAUUAUUUAUAUUUUUUACAUUUUAAUUGGUACAUUGUAUAACUCACUAAUAUACAAUUAAAAGCAUUCUAACCAAGUCAGUGAAGUCCUCAUCAAACUUAUUCACACAUCUAUAUCACUAUCCAAUUAUAAAAAUAUAACGCAAACACUAAUCCAAAAUUGCUACAAGAAUGAGCCUUAGAGCUACAUCUUACCAAUGUAGAAUGCCCGAAAAAGCAGGAACCCCAAACAAGACAACCAAGUUUGACACAUAAGUACCAAGUCCCAACCACAACUACAACCUCAACCAUUGACUUUUAGUCAAUAGGAAGAAAAAAAGAUAUUACCAUAUCCACUCUGCCUUGAACCAAAGCAAAAUCUCAAGCAAGGAAAGAUGAGAGGAAGAAAUAGAAGAAGAUAUAUAAUUGUUGGUACAUACUGACCUUGGUUGUUACUACUAGUAUUGUUACUAUCAGAAGAUGGAUGGUCGACUGUUUAGUUGAACAACAACUUGUUGUGCAGAGGAAUCUUAUACAAGUGAACGUGCAUUGAUCAGAAACAGCCUAGAUUUCAACUUUUAGUUACUGUAGUUCUGCUGUUAAAUUGAAAGCAAAAGAAAAUGGGUUAUUAAACAGGAAUAAAUAGGACAAUAUUAGUUUUUUAAAUAGGAAUAAACAGGAAACUAUCAGCAAGAAUGUAGAUGCUUUACCGAACUAACCCAAGCAGAAUGUAGAUCUUAGAAAAUUACAAAUAAGCAAAAAAUGGGUUGUUGGUCUCCUGAAAAUGCCACUAAAGCUUUUCUCAAAACCAUGGACAUGGAAAUUACAAUUAUGAACUUAUCAUAUCUGAAAUCUGAUAUACAAUUCAAAUAAUAUUUUCUUCUCAAGAUGUUACUAAUGUCAUGUUGAUCUGGUGUAGGGAAAGAGAGCUAUAUUACCAAAUGGAGCAGAGUUCAUUUUCACGCUCGUAGUAGGAAAUAAUGUACAACUUAUGGUAUUUGCUUGUGCAAAUGUUGCAGACUCCACCACCUUGCACUGGUGGCAACAACUCAACAAACAGAAGGUUGAUACAUUACACUUACUACAAGAUACAACUAGUCUUUUAGAUAAUUUCAGUAGAUUGGAAUUGUAAAUACCUAUUUAAUGUAGAACACUUCAGCUUUCAUGGAAAACUACCAAAGAUUCAAAUAUACGCAGAGGAAAAUAAGAAAGAGAGCUGUCAAACAUGAUACUUAUCCGUAUAUUGAAAAAUAGGACACCAAUCUGCACAAAACAAUAUUAAAAUGAAGAGGUAGCAUGAUGAUUUGGCAUAUCACCUAUUCAGUUAUUAGAAUGUUCUUGUCUCUUUGACAUGAUAUACUUUAGAAGAAGCUAAAGGUUUCUCAAUCAAGUAUGGUUUAUCUUAGUGAUAUGAAUAUUUUUAUUAAAAAGAGAAAAGAUUACUCAUGCAUUAUGUCAUAUUAGGAUGUAGAUGGUUCUUUAUCUUAUGUUUCCCUGUUCUUUCUUGAUGAUGUGGUCUGAUUUUACAGAUGCAUCUAAUAGAAAAAUGGAUAACCUUUAGAUGGUACCAAAGAAGUUCUUCGCAUCAUCAAUAGUGGAGAAGAGAAACCAUUUGAUUCCUUAAGUAUAUUAUUAAGAGUAAAAAAAGUACUAGCAUUAAGAUUCUGUAACUUUUUUUUAUUUGCACUAGAUGUCCGAGUCUCUAAGACUCCCGACUAUUCCCGAGGGUGCACAGGCCAUCGGUAAGGAGUUUACCGUAAGUGCACCAUGGUUAAUUCAGGUUUUACCCAGUUCAAUGGCCCUCAAAAAUUGUUUGCACCCAGUGCGUUUCAAACUUGAUGUCUUGAAUGGGAGCAAACUCCAAGGCUCAAGUCAAUUGCCACUACGCCAAACCUUGAGGGUUAUUAAGAUUCUAUAACUUCAAAAGUCAAUUAAUAGAAAAUUUCAUUCAUUCUUGAUAUUUCCAUCAGCUUUCACACUAGAGAAAAUUGAACCUGUUUUAAGCAAACUAUCUUUUACGAGAAUGUUUUUAUUUAGAAAAACUAAAGAUAGAGAUGGAGGAAUUAUACAUACCUACUCUGCCCCUUCAACACAGGUAGUUCUGCCUCUGAAUACUACUGCUGCUGAUAAGGAAAAUAUGAACCUCACAAAGAAUCAAAUAUUUAGCCUAUCUAAAUGAAAUGCAAAACACUACUACAAGUGCUCUUUGUUUUUGUUCUUUUGCAGAAACAAACUCGAAUGUGGUACACAAACAACUAACAAACCGUCAGAUGCAACUAGUUUUUACUGCAUUCUCUCAUUAUAUUGUGGUUACUAGUUUAGCUUAACAGUUUCAAAAGAGCUAUAAUAAGAUUAUUAGUACGAUAAAACUGUGAUCCAUGAAAAGGUGUACAAUUUUUUCUUUUCCUCUUUUCACAUUUUUUUAUCUCCAUUAUGCCAAAAGGACUGAAAGCAAACAACUUGAUAAGUCUAGGAGACUAGCUUAUAUCCUGUAUCUCAUCAGUCUUUACAAAAAUAUUUUGUAUAGAGAAAUAUUUUUGUAAUAAAAUCAAGUUCUAGUGUUUGAAAUUUCUUAUAUUUAAGAAAGUUAUUAAUGCACAGAGACGUUUUCCUUUAAUAAAUGCUAACUUAUACUUGGUUUAAUCAACCGUUAGAGAGUAUAUUUAAGUUUUGAUACCUAAAAAUAUCUUCUAUACAUCCUUCGCCCUUGUACAAUUACCACGCAUAUUUUACAGUAUAAAAUAUUUCAUAUGAAUAACACUUUCCUCCUUCUGAACUACACCUAAAAGAAAAUAUGAAAGUCUAAAAUGGAUAUACAACCUACCUCUCCAAUCUUGAUUGAUCAAAAUCUCGACAACAUCAGUAGGCAAUCGUAAAAGGUUUUUUUUCCUAAAAAUCAAGGAACAAAGAAGGGAAAAAGGGAAGAUUGUUGAGGAAUCUCUCAGAAACACUAAAAAUCAAUUAAAAAAAUAAUCCACUAUUCUACAAAUUGCAGAAAUAGCAUAAGAAGUAAUAAUAAAACGGAAAAUCAAGGGAGUACAAGGAAAUCGCAAAAAAACAGAAUAACCGUCAAUUAAAUCGAUAAAAAAUAGUUAAAACUAAUUCAGCACACAACUGUUAGAAUGGGUUCGAAAUAAACCCGAUUCUAGGGUUUUGUUAAAUGGGUUUGUUAUUGUUGUGGUUAUAAACAUGCUUGGAAAAGAGAGUAGGAUUUUAGUGGCAUCAUCAUUGCUUCAUAAUUUGCAUAAAGAUGGUUUUGAUAUCGAUGUUUAUGCAUAUACUUCUUUAAUUAAUAGUUUGCGCGUUAUCGGAGGUACAGAGAUGCGGUUAAACAGAAGGGAUGACUGAGAUUUUAAAGAAAAUAAACAAUAAUGGUAGAAUACAUGUUGGAAUCAUAAUGAAAAAUGCAACUUACCUAUGUCGCCGAUGGUGGUUUGUCUUCCUCGUAAUCUCCGGCGAAUGUUUUUGGGAGAAAGAGGUCGGAACUUUUUGGAAGAGAUGGUAUUUGUUCUCGUAAUCUCCGCGUGUAUAGGUAUAUUGUUAGGUUUUAUUAUU
rnacentral:lncRNA from 1 species